CAGUGGAUAAUGUUAGUAGCUUCUUACUGAUAUUGAAAGAGAGAAGCAUGAUGUUACCAUAUGAAAACAAUGAAGGAAGAAGCAAGGUAAACAAGAUGAGUCUCUCACACAAGUAACUUCACAAGAAAUGGAUUAAAACCCAAAAGUGUUCUAGAACAAAACCCAUGGUAUCUCUGCAGUAUGCCUGUUCUCCAAAAAGAAGACCUGUCUGCAUCAGCACUUGUUCUCUGUUCACCUGCAACCAACACCACCUCCCAGCUUUAGACAACCACUA